GCGCGUAGCUUAGUGGUUAGAGUAUUCGGCUGGCGAUCGGAAGCUCUCGAGUUCGAGUCUCUGCGGCGCA
rnacentral:tRNA from 1 species